UGGGGAAGUCUUGUCCAAUGGGCGGAGACCUGAUGCAGCCAUGCCGCGUGAAUGAUGAAGGCCUUAGGGUUGUAAAAUUAUUUCGUCAGGGAUGCCGUACCUGAAGAAGAAGCCCCGGCUAACUUCGUGCCAGCAGCCGCGGUAAUACGAAGGGGGCUAGCGUUGUUCGGAAUUACUGGGCGUAAAGCGCACGUAGGCGGACUUUUAAGUCAGGUGUGAAAUCCCGGGGCUCAACCUCGGAACUGCAUUUGAAACUGGGAGUCUUGAGAUCAGGAGAGGUUAGCGGAAUACCGAGUGUAGAGGUGAAAUUCGUAGAUAUUCGGUGGAACACCAGUGGCGAAGCGGCUAACUGGACUGAUACUGACGCUGAGGUGCGAAAGUGUGGGGAGCAAACAGGAUUAGAUCCCACGUAGU
rnacentral:rRNA from 1 species